UACGGAGGAUGCGAGCGUUAUCCGGAUUUAUUGGGUUUAAAGGGUGCGUAGGCGGACUGUCAAGUCAGCGGUAAAAAUUCGGGGCUCAACCCCGUCGUGCCGUUGAAACUGGCGCCCUUGAGUGGGCGAGAAGUAUGCGGAAUGCGUGGUGUAGCGGUGAAAUGCAUAGAUAUCACGCAGAACCCCGAUUGCGAAGGCAGCAUACCGGCGCCCGACUGACGCUGAAGCACGAAAGCGUGGGUAUCGAACAGG
rnacentral:rRNA from 1 species